GGCAUUGCGGGCAGGAUGAUUCGUAGUAAGGCUUUGGAUUCAAGUUCCAUGUUGGUCUUCAAAAGGACAGCGGGAGAGAGACAACUGCAUCUUCCCUUCGCUGGCUGUGGGCAAGAUGGAGGACGCGCUUACCUCCCGACCAGGUCAUGGCGAGGCUGCUGGUUUCUGUUAAAGGCAUAUCUCGGCUCAGCUCAUGAUUUUAGUUUUGUAGAUCUUCUGAAGUACAUUGUAACUCUAUAAA